rnacentral:rRNA from 1 species
GUCCUCUCGUUUUUAUGGGAGGUCAGACCUGCCCGGUGAAAUUGUUUAACGGCCGCGGUAUUUUGACCGUGCAAAGGUAGCAUAAUCAUUAGUCUUUUAAUAGGAGGCUGGAAUGAAAGGUUUGACGAAAUAAUUACUGUCUCAUUUAAAUGAGUUUGAAUUUAACUUUUAAGUUAAAAAGCUUAAAUUUUGUUGGAAGACGAGAAGACCCUAUAGAGCUUUAUAUUUAAUUAUUAGAUUUUUAUUGUUAUAAUGAUAUCUUUUAUUUAUUUAUUUUGUUGGGGUGACAAGGAAUAUAUUUAUAACUUUCAUUAUUUUUAUUACAUUUAUUUAUGAAUAUUAGAUCCAUUAUUAUUGAUUAUUAGAAUAAGUUACCUUAGGGAUAACAGCGUAAUCCUCUUUUGGAGUUCAAAUUUACAAGAGGGCUUGCGACCUCGAUGUUGGAUUAAGAUAAUAAUCAGGUGCAGUAGCUUGAUUAAUAGGUCUGUUCGACCUUUAAAUUCUUACAUGAUCUGAGUUCAGACCGG